UGGGGAAUUUUGGACAAUGGGCGAAAGCCUGAUCCAGCAAUGCCGCGUGUGUGAAGAAGGCCUUCGGGUUGUAAAGCACUUUUGUCCGGAAAGAAAUCCUUGGCUCUAAUACAGUCGGGGGAUGACGGUACCGGAAGAAUAAGCACCGGCUAACUACGUGCCAGCAGCCGCGGUAAUACGUAGGGUGCAAGCGUUAAUCGGAAUUACUGGGCGUAAAGCGUGCGCAGGCGGUUUGCUAAGACCGAUGUGAAAUCCCCGGGCUCAACCUGGGAACUGCAUUGGUGACUGGCAGGCUAGAGUAUGGCAGAGGGGGGUAGAAUUCCACGUGUAGCAGUGAAAUGCGUAGAGAUGUGGAGGAAUACCGAUGGCGAAGGCAGCCCCCUGGGCCAAUACUGACGCUCAUGCACGAAAAGCGUGGGGAGCAAAACAGGGAUUAGAUACCCCUGGUAGUCCACGCCCUAAAACGAUGUCAACUAGUUGUUGGGGAUUCAUUUCCUUAGUAACGUAGCUAACGCGUGAAGUUGACCGCCUGGGGAGUACGGUCGCAAGAUUAAAAACUCAAAGGAAUUGACGGGGUCAUAGCUGUUUCCU
rnacentral:rRNA from 1 species